CCUACGGGUGGCAGCAGUGAGGAAUCUUGGUCAAUGGGCGCGAGCCUGAACCAGCCAAGUAGCGUGAAGGAUGAAUGCCCUACGGGUUGUAAACUUCUUUUAUAAAGGAAUAAAGUGAGGCUCGUGUGCCUUUUUGUAUGUCCUUUAUGAAUAAGGAUCGGCUAACUCCGGUCCAGCAGCCGCGGUAAUACGGAGGAUCCGAGCGUGAUCCGGAUUAAUUGGGUUGAAAGGGAGCGUAGAUGGGUUGGUAAGGCAGUUGUGAAAGUUUGCGGCUCAACCGUAAAAUUGCAAUUGAUAAUGGCAGUCUUGAGUACAGUAGAGGUAGGCGGAAUUCGUGGUGUAGCGGGGAAAUGCUUAGAUAUCACGAAGAACGCCGAUUGCGAAGGCAGCUUACUAAACUGCCACUGACAUUGAUGCUCGAAAGUGUGGGUAUCAAACAGGAUUAGAUACCCGAGUAGUC
rnacentral:rRNA from 1 species